rnacentral:sRNA from 1 species
GCUGGGUGUGGUGGCACAUGCCUGCAAUCCCAGGUGCUGGAAGCCGAGGUAGGAGGAUCAAGAGUUCAAAGCUAGCCUCAGCAACAAUAAGGCGCUGAGCAACUCAGUGAGACCCUGUCUCUA